rnacentral:sRNA from 1 species
AAAACUGUAGUACAAAUACUGUAUCAAUAUCAGUAGCAUUUCUUUCGGGAUCUACCAUGAAGUUUGUCAAACCAAAGGAAUCUUUUUAGUGGUGCUUAUAAAACAUGUUGUUCACAAAUAAUAUUGUCCAAUGUAUGUCAUUUAAAUGAAAAUGUUUGUCAACAUUUUUCCUGUGAGUGUAAAUGUAUUUUUGUUUUUUUUUCUCUCAUUUUUUUUAAUUGAAUAAAUAGACCAUAUUUGUAUAGUAUGUAUCUAUGUAUGUUAAACUCUCUUAAAUAUUUUAGAACAUGCUAGACAUUGAGUUUCUAUAGAAUGUUAUUUCGUGAGUUUUAAUUAUCAAGAAAUUGACAACAAAUGAAUUUGAGUAUUCACAAAUGAAGACUUUUUAAAUAGUUGUAUAUUUUACAGUCGAUAAUUAUUGCAGUAUGUAAUACAAAAUCCAAGGUCAAAAUCGGAUUGACCUCUAAAAAGAUCAAGUGUAUGAAUGGAAAUUUUUUGAACAUAUUUACAAAGCUAUCAGGUAUACAAUGACAUCUGCACUGUUAACAUACUGCUUGUGUACAUGUAUCGUUGAUAUUCAGGUGGUCACGUGACCGGUCAUAUGAUAUCUAUUCCUGUUUGAGGUUGCUGUAGAUGCUGCCCCUGGCAAGAGAGAAAUGACGCCAGGUUAUUUAUUGUUUGUAGAAAUUCUAGAUGUGUGUAUGACCAUGGAGAUGCAAUAUUGUAUGUCUUUUACAUGUAUUUAAGAUUGAAUAAAACCAAAUGAAACAAAUA